ensembl:lncRNA
GGAGCACCAGUCUGAUCACAGGCUGGAGGAAACAUGGUGGAUGAUCACCUGAGCUGUACUCAGCUUCUCAUAAACAAUCAAAUCAGAUACAGAAAACAGGAUUAAUCUUCAUGAAUGAUAACAAGGGAAGUUAUGACAUCAUAACAGAAACACAAACAAGACGUGCAUGAGUAUAAAACAUGCCAGACUGAAGAUGAGAUGCCAACAGCAUCGCAAACAUUAAUGUUUAAAGCUUCCAUGUGGUUUUACAUUUCUUCCAUGGAAACAGGAGGUGCCGCUUUUCAUUUGAAGACUCACAUUUAUGGACGUGGACGUGGAAAAGUAUAAAUCUGGGAGCUUUUUUUGGACAUGAAGUUGGUAAUGUGUCUUUGUGACAGCUGUGUGGAAGCACGAGAGCAACGUUUGUGGGAAAGUCCACAGACUGUACCACUCUGACAUGUUUGAAGGAGGUUUUUCACACUAAAGUCAAAGAAUCGGUCUAAAUAAAACCUCCUUCACCUUGUAAGGAAACAUUUUGUGUACACGAUUUCUUUCCAUUUAACAAAGUUAGUUCAGUGAGAGAUGGCAGGAGGAGCAGAGGUCAGCUCAUGGUGACAGAGGUCAAACAGAUGUGAGGGGGAACAGCACACACAGCACUGGUGUGUUUCAUCUCCACACACAGACAAACCACAGCAACACUGACUCCACUCUCAGCCUCCCAGUGACCAUGAGCUUACCUGUGUCACCGGUGCCACCCUCUGUGGACCCCACUGUGUCAUGUGAUGAUGAUACAGGAUAUUUUCCACACCCAGCUCCACACUGAGUCCUGACUUCAGUGGGUGAAUCCAUCCAGCAGAGACGUGGAGACACAAAGACUGAGAGCUGCUGGACAGUUUCAGGUGUUACAUAUCAGUUCAGGGCAGGAGAAACGCAGGUACAUGGUUGUGCACUAGAACCUGAUGUAGAAGUUACAGCAUGCAAGCACAUGAUGAUGGGGCAGGGGAGCAGCUCUUUACUGACAUCUAGUGGUUCUACGUCUUUUUCCUGCUUAAUAAAGUUCAGCUUUCUUCUUCUGCAGAUCCUUUGACAAGUCUUUUGCUGCCCCCAUGACUCGGGACCGAACAACGUCGGUGCAGCACUGGACCUGCAGCGUCAGUCUGAAGGCCUGAAACUCCUCCCACGCUGAUCACAGACAUCAGCAGGAUCGAGGACGACCCCCCCCCCCAAGUCUGAGGACGUUCCCCGCCACAUGAAUGGGGGACAGGAGGCGCAGCUUCCAGCCCAGCUGGUGGGAAAGUCCUCCGUGGGUGGACUUCUCUGUAACUAUGGACUCUGCCUGUUGUCAUGCGUGCAGACGUUUCAGUCCAUAGACAUUUCAGCCAGUGCUUUUUAAACAUUAACUGUGCACAUGUGCGG